rnacentral:tRNA from 1 species
GGGGGUAUAGCCCAGUGGUAUAGUGCAUGCCCAACAUGCACAAGGUCCUGGGUUCAAUCCCAGGUACCUCCA